rnacentral:rRNA from 1 species
UAUAUACGGCUAAGCAUUGAGGCAGUCUAAAUAGGCAAAUCCGUUUGGACAAUGCUAGGAUGUGAUGGGGAAGCCCUCCGGGGCGAAGUAGCUGAUUUCACACUGUCAAGAAAAGCUUCUAUCGAGUCUAAAGGCGCCCGUACCGUAAGCCGACACAGGUGGGUGAGGAGAGUAUCCUAAGGCCAGCGAGAGAACUAUUGUUAAGGAACUCGGCAAAAUGACCCCGUAACUUAGGGAGAAGGGGUACCUGUCUAUGACAGGCCGCAGAGAAUAGGCCCAAGCGACUGUUUACCAAAAACACAGGUUUCUGCUAAGUCGCAAGACGAUGUAUAGGAGCUGACGCCUGCCCGGUGCUGGAAGGUUAAGGGGAUCUGUUAGAGCAAUCGAAGCAGUGAACUUAAGCCCCAGUAAACGGCGGCCGUAACAAUAACGGUCCUAAGGUAGCGAAAUUCCUUGUCGGGUAAGUUCCGACCCGCACGAAAGGCGUAACGAUUUGGGCACUGUCUCAACAAUAGACUCGGUGAAAUUGUAAUCCCGGUGAAGAUGCCGGGUACCUGCGACAGGACGGAAAGACCCCAUGGAGCUUUACUGUAGCUUGACGUUGGGUCUUGGUACUACAUGUACAGGAUAGGUGGGAGACUAUGAAGCAUGGACGCCAGUCUGUGUGGAGUCAUCCUUGGGAUACCACCCUUGUAGUACUGGAAUCCUAACCAUAGGCCUUGAAUCAGGUCUUGGAACACCGUCAGGUGGGCAGUUUGACUGGGGCGGUCGCCUCCUAAAAAGUAACGGAGGCGCUCAAAGGUUUCCUCAGCACGGUCGGAAAUCGUGCGAAGAGUGUAAAGGCAAAAGGAAGCUUGAUUGCAAGACAUACAGGUCGAGCAAGGACGAAAGUCGGACUUAGUGAUCCGGUGGUACCGCAUGGAAGGGCCAUCGCUCAACGGAUAAAAGCUACCCUGGGGAUAACAGGCUUAUCUCCCCCAAGAGUCCACAUCGACGGGGAGGUUUGGCACCUCGAUGUCGGCUCAUCACAUCCUGGGGCUGUAGUAGGUCCCAAGGGUUGGGCUGUUCGCCCAUUAAAGUGGUACGCGAGCUGGGUUCAGAACGUCGUGAGACAGUUCGGUCCCUAUCCGUCGCAGGCGUAGGAAAUUUGAGAAGACCUGUCCUUAGUACGAGAGGACCGGGAUGGACGUACCUCUGGUGUACCAGUUGUUCUGCCAAGGGCAUGGCUGGGUAGCUAUGUACGGAAUGGAUAAGCGCUGAAAGCAUCUAAGCGCGAAGCCAACUUCAAGAUAAGAUUUCCCACCGUAAGGGUAAGACCCCAGGAAGACUACCUGGUUGAUAGGUCGAAGGUGUAAGUGCAGUAAUGUAUUUAGCUUAUCGAUACUAAUAGGUCGAGGACUUGACC